AAAAACGCGUGAUUUUUGUGCUUAAUUGGCGGAUUUGCGAAGAGAAAACUCGUGGUUUUUUGUGUUAAUUGAGGGAUUUGCGAAGAGAAAACGCGUGACUUUCGCUUAAAUGUGGGAUUUGAGAAAACGCGUGAUUUUCGCUUAAAUGUUGGAUUCUCGGAGAGAAAACGCGUGAUUUUCGCUUAAAUGGGGGAUUUCAGAAAAGAAAACGCGUGAUUUUCGGGUUAAAUGGAAGAUUCCUGAAGAGAAAAUGCGUGUUUUUUGCUUAAACGGCGGAUUUGUGAAGAGAAAACGUGUUUUCCACAUAAAUGGGGGAUUUGCGAAGAGAAAACGCGUGUUUUUCGCUUAAAUGGGGGAUUUCUGAAGAGAAAACGCGUGAUUUUCGGUUAAAUGGGGGAUUUGCAAAGAGAAAACGUGUGAUUUUUGCUUAAAUGGUGUAUUUGAGAAGAGAAAAUUUGUGAUUUUCGCAUAAAUGGGGGAUUCUCAAAGAGAAAACGCUUGAUUUUCACUUAAAAUGACGAUUCUCAAAGAGAAAACGUGAGAUUUUCACUUAAAUGGGGGUUUUGCGAAGGGAAAACGUGUGAUUUUCGCUUAAAUGGGGGAUUUUGAAGAGAAAACUCGUGGUUUUUUGUGUUAAUUGGGGGAUUUGCGAAGGGAAAACGCGUGAUUUUCGGGUUAAAUGGGGGAUUUUCGAAGUAAAAACGCGUGUUUUUCUGGUAAAAUGGGGGAUUUGCGAAGAGAAAAUGCUUGGUUUUCUGGUUAAAUGGGGGAUUUGCGAAGAGAAAACGCGUGACUUUCGCUUAAAUGUGGGAUUUGAGAAAACGCGUGAUUUUCGCUUAAGUGUUGGAUUCUCGGAGAGAAAACACGUGAUUUUCGCUUAAAUGGGGGAUUUCCGAAAAGAAAACGCGUGAUUUUCUGGUUAAAUGGGGGAUUUGCGAAGAGAAAACGCAUGAUUUUCUGGUUAAAUGGGGGACUUGCAAAUUGAAAAUGUGCGAUUAUCGGGCUAAAUGGGGGAUUUUCGAAGAGAAAACUCAUGGUUUUUUGUGUUAAUUGCGGGAUUUGCGAAGAGAAAACGCGUGAUUUUCGCUUAAAUGGGGGAUUUGAGAAAACACAUGAUUUUCACUUAAAUGUUGGAUUCUCGAAGUGAAAACGCGUGAUUUUCGCAUAAAUGGGGGAUUUCCGAAGAGAAAACACGUGAUUUUCAAGUUAAAUGGGGGAUUCGCGAAGAGAAAACGCGUGAUUUUCGCUUAAAUGGGGGAUUUGCGAAGAGAAAACGCGUGACUUUCGCUUAAAUGUGGGAUUUGAGAAAACGCGUGAUUUUCGCUUAAAUGUUGGAUUCUCGGAGAGAAAACGCGUGAUUUUCGCUUAAAUGGGGGAUUUCUGAAAAGAAAACGCGUGAUUUUCGGGUUAAAUGGAAGAUUCCUGAAGAGAAAACGCGUGAUUUUCAAGUUAAAUGGGGGAUUUGCAAAGAGAAAACGUGUGAUUUUUGCUUAAAUGGUGUAUUUGAGAAGAGAAAAUUUGUGAUUUUCGCAUAAAUGGGGGAUUCUCAAAGAGAAAACGCUUGAUUUUCACUUAAAUUGACGAUUCGCAAAGAGAAAACGCGAGAUUUCCACUUAAAUGGGGGUUUUGCGAAGGGAAAAUGUGUGAUUUUCGCUUAAAUGGGGGAUUUUUGAAGAGAAAACUCAUGGUUUUUUGUGUUAAAUGGGGGAUUUGCGAAGAGAAAACGCGUGACUUUCGCUUAAAUGUGGGAUUUGAGAAAACACAUGAUUUUCACUUAAAUGUUGGAUUCUCGAAGUGAAAACGCGUGAUUUUCGCUUAAGUGUUGGAUUCUCGGAGAGAAAACACGUGAUUUUCGCUUAAAUGGGGGAUUUCCGAAAAGAAAACGCGUGAUUUUCUGGUUAAAUGGGGGAUUUGCGAAGAGAAAACGCGUGUUUUUCGCUUAAAUGGGGGACUUGCAAAUUGAAAAUGUGCGAUUAUCGGGUUAAAUGGGGGAUUUUCGAAGAGAAAACACGUGUUUUCCACAUAAAUGGGGGAUUUGCGAAGAGAAAACGCGUGACUUUCGCAUAAAUGGGGGAUUUGCAAAUUGAAAAUGCAUGAUUUUCAAGUUAAAUGGGGGAUUUGCAAAGAGAAAACACGUGAUUUUCGGGUUAAAUGGAAGAUUCCUGAAGAGAAAACGCGUGAUUUUUGCUUAAAUGGCGGAUUUGCUGAAGAGAAAACUCGUGGUUUUUUGUGUUAAUUGAGGGAUUUGCGAAGAGAAAACGCGUGACUUUCGCUUAAAUGUGGGAUUUGAGAUAAACGCGUGAUUUUCGCUUAAAUGUUGGAUUCUCGGAGAGAAAACGCGUGAUUUUCGC
ensembl:lncRNA